rnacentral:sRNA from 1 species
UCAGAAAAAGAAAUUAUGGGUACGACUGC